rnacentral:lncRNA from 1 species
GGGAAAUACCACAAGAGCAACAAACGGUGUUCAGUAAGGGAAGUAUAAAGUCCUGCAGCUGGGGAGGAAUGAGCCCAGGCAUCGGGACAUGCCUGGGACUACCUAUAAAGCAACUCUGCAAAACAGGGCCUGGGUGUCCUGGGGGACACAGAGCUGAACAUGAGCCAACAGUGUGCCUUUUUGCCACAAAGGCGGCAGAUUAUACCCUGG